AAUCACUGAAGUUGCCACAGGAGAGGCCAAGCACAUUAGUGAAAUAACACAAGUACUCCACCCUUGGAAGAUCUGUAAAUACAGCACUCCAAAACCAUCUGUCAGCCCUCCAAAACCACUGCAGGAAAGCCAGGACAGUUUUGCUGCAUUGCAGACAAAUGCUAAAUCAGCCUCCUGAGCCAGACACAGCACUCAAGCUUUCAACAAAAGGCCUCAAAGUCCUCUUUGACCUCAUCAUGGCCAGAGAUCUCAUUGCUGCCUCUGCCAGGUCAUAGAUUUUAAGAAGGGGACUCACCACGAGCCUUCAAGCCAAUGUCAUUUUUGCAUGGACCACAGGACUUGCUGACAUCAGUUCCUGCUUCAAGUCCAAAGACAAUGGCUGGAAUAAAAUAGAUCAUUUUGGAAACAUUUCCAGUAUACACAUUUUUAACCCAGUAUUAGUUGCUCAAGUGAUUGUUUUUAUUUCCAUUUUUAAUUAAUUUUAAUUA